AAUUCCCUACGGGGGGCAGCAGUGAGGAAUAUUGGUCAAUGGCCGGAAGGCUGAACCAGCCAAGCCGCGUGAAGGACGAAGGUGCCAAGCAUUGUAAACUUCUUUUGUCAAGGGACAAAAUCAGGCUCGAGAGCCUGACCGAGGGUACUUGAAGAAAAAGCAUCGGCUAACUCCGUGCCAGCAGCCGCGGUAAUACGGAGGAUGCGAGCGUUAAUCGGAAUUACUGGGCGUAAAGGGUGUGCAGGCGGUUUUUCAAGA
rnacentral:rRNA from 1 species